rnacentral:lncRNA from 1 species
UACGGCCUGGCACCCCUAGCCGUAUUGCACCAACACUUGCAGACUUGUCAUACUAAGCAUUCCUUCUGAAAUAAUAAAUCAGUCAGUCAAGUUUCAUCCUUCAACCAGUGCAGUGCUGAAGUUAAUCGUCCGAACCUCCCCACGGGCCAGGAAGCAGCCAACAUGGCCCGCUUCCCGGGAACCCCGUACAUAACUGGCGCAGUCGGUCGUCUCGGUGAAUUACCGAGACUUAAGAGAAUCAGGAUGAUAAUCACGAGCCGAAACCGAGGACUGGCAGGCAAACAGCAUCGAAAAAAAUCAAUAGCAUCUUCAUUCCUUCUUUUAUUUGAUAUUUCUAACGCUUUUUACUUUUAGACUUCCACCAUAUUCACUCAACACCCGCUUGGUAACCACGUCUAGGGAAAGCAGCAGACGUGCAAAACAACCAGGCUAAUUUCUCCCCAAUGAACCUAACCAGCGUUUUGAGAGGUAGUAAUGGAUAUGAAGAAUGAGUUGUAAUUGUAAAAUUCGUAAUCAUUGUGGCGUUAACGAAAAGAACAAAAAAAAAAAAGGGUUUUAUGCCGUGAUUGAGGAGAGAGCAGACAUAGCUCAACCUCAACCCAAGUGCUUUUGUCCCUUCCAAAAGCCUUAGCCUGCAAAAAUUCUGAUGGAUGCUACUAAGAAACUGUACACCGAAUAUCGCUGUUAGAAUUAAGUUUGGUAGGACAAGUUAGCAAGAAAUCGUUUAAAUCAAACCAGAAAAUUCUCAUAAUUCUUAUGAGCCUGAGCCGCAUCAACCAAAUGCUAGGAAUGUGAUAUCCUUGAUACGUCAGGAAUCCUUCCUGUUGCCAUCCCGGGGCUCCAGACAACUAGAUUUGUGAGGCCCUCGACACGUCAGGACUCCGUCUAGCCUGGAACAGUCAUUGGGAAUGUGAUGUCCUCGAUACGUCAGGCAUCCGCCCUUGGACGAACUCCGCAGCAACUCGAGCACAUCAGUGGAACUCAGA